ACUUAAAUAGCUUAUACAGAGCAUAACACUGAAGAUGUUAAGGAAAUAUUAUUAUUUUUAAGUA
rnacentral:tRNA from 1 species